rnacentral:lncRNA from 10 species
CUUUCCCUUUCCUCUUGUUUUCUAGGGCUUGCUACGUAGGCCAGAACUACACCAACACGCUUUGAUGCUGAAGCAGAAUUUGGUACAAGGUGGCUGUAAGUCAGAUCUCCUGCUAAUUGUGUGAAACUGUUUAUGUUGAUUCAUCUAAGCAGCUGGUCUUUUGAGAGAGAUGCAACAGACCAAAGAACAAAGACAGAAGCUUGAGAAGCCAUGUUAGGACUUGUUGCACAGCAUGGUGACUGCUAUGGAACAUUGGUAUGGAGUUUCAGGAGAAAUAAGGGUGAUAGGAUCCAGCUCCCCCCAGCAGAGUUCUUGGAUGUCAAGUCCUGAUAAAUCCCCGCCGCCUCCUGGGUCCAAGCUCGGGUACCACUAACUUGUCCCAAGAGAGUGGGGAGUGAGACCUGUAAGUCAACUAAUAUAAGAUCUCUCAGGAUUUUCUAGCAAUACAACCAUGUGAUCUCUGAAUAAAGACAGUGUGUGUGUGUAUACUGCAUAUAUAUGACAUAUAUACAUUUAUAUACUGCAUAAUGAAUUUAUACAAUGAUAAAUAAUGUAAUAAUACAAUUCAUUUUUCUAUUUAUUUAUUCUAUUUCUUACUUCAUUAGCAAGGACCUCCAGGGCAAUUUUGAAUAGAAGUGAUGAGAAUGAAACCCUGUCUAGUUCCUGAUUUUAGGGUAAAAGUGUAAACUAUUUCACCAUUAUAUAUAGUUGUGGCUGUAUGAUUUCUGUAGACAUACUUUAUGAGACAGAGGAUCUUUCAUUCUAUUAUUGAUUUUCUGGAAGUUUUUUUUCUUCUACCAUGAAUGGGAAUUGAAUGUUUUCAUGUUUUUUUCUAUACCACUUGAGAUAAUAAUAUAAUGAUUUCCUUUAUCAGUUGUUCAAUGAACUAUGUUGAUUGGUUCUUGAAUACUAAACAUAUUUUGCUUCCUGAGAUAAACUUCACUUUCAAUACUGUAUUCUAGGUGUUUAAAAAAUAUUUUAUUCAUUAUAUUUAUUAUUAAAUAUUUUAGACAUCAUAUUAUAGAUUUUAAUAUUCAAUGGUUACUUUAAAUAUAGUUCAAUUUAUUAAAUUUAAUGUGCUGGUUAUUAAACCUUUUAAAUUGAUUAUACAUCCAAAUAGUAUGGAAUAUUUAUUAAAUAUUCUAUUUUUAUUUUUAUUCAAAAUACUUUUAAAAAUAUUUUCCAGGAUGUGAUUGUUUAUAUUGCUAAGGAUUUUUGCAUCUGUAUUAAUGAGACACAUUUGUCUCUCUUUUAAAAAUGUCUUUGGUAGUCUUCUAGACAAAUAAGAAAAUGUUGUUCCUGCCUCUUUAAUAAUCAGCAGAGUCUGUGGAAGACUGGCAUUGUUUCUUUCUUGAAUGUUCCUUCGAAUUUACCAUUAAUGCCAUCCUUUAAGGAAAAUUUCAAUGUCUUUAACGGAUAUGGGGGUAUCCAGACUUUCCAUUUAUUUUUGUAUCCAUUUCAUGGGAUUUGGUAAAUUGCUUUUAAAGGAACUUGUCAGUUUCGUUUGAGUUAUCUAAUUUAUUGCCAUAAAGUAGUUCAUAAUAUUUUGUUAUUAUCACUUUAAUAUCUAGGGGAUCCCUGGUGAAGUCCUCUAUUUCAUUUCUAUACUGGUAAUUGUGUCUUCUCUCUUAGUUUUUUCUUUGAUUAAUUUUGCUAGGGGUUUAUCAUUGUUAUUAAUGUUUGCUAAACCUACUUUUGUUCUUGUAGAUUUUGACUUUUGUUUGCUUGUCUUCUCCACUUUUAAAGUGUAUUAAAUUUGGACCAAUAGACAAUGAUAUAUUUCUCUAUUUAGAUAUUCUUUAAUUUAUCUCAAUAAUGUUUCAUAAUUUUCUGUGUAGAGAUCUUGUGGCCAUUAAAUUUAUUUUUGUAUUAGUUUUUGUUAUUAUAUAUGGUAUCUUUUUUACAAUUAAAACUUAUUCCUGAUGAAUUACAGAAAUACAAAUAAUUUGAUAUUAUCAACAUAUCUAAAGUGAUGCUGGGAAACUCACUUUUAAAUUCUCAGUUUAUCUGUAGAAUUUUUGGGUUUUCUACAGGCACAAUUUUGUGAUUUGUGAGUAAUAACCUUUAUUUCUUUGUUGACAACCCUUAUACAUUUAAUAUCUUUGCUUGCCUUACUGUUUAUAUUAGAAUUUCUAAUAAAAUACUGAAAUAAAUGAUGUUAGUAAACAUGUUUGCCUCAUAUCAAUCUCAAAUGGAAAGUAUUUACUAUUGCACCAUUAUCUAUGAUGUUUACUAAAGGUUUUGAGCAGAUAUUUGUUUUCAAAUUGAAGAAAUCCCCUUUCCCUCCUAAUUUGUCAGAGGAGUUAUUUUUGAAUAAAAACUUGGAGAAAUUAAAAACUUGAAUAAAACUUGAGAAGGAGGGAAACUUAUGCAAGUGUGGAGAAAGGGCGUCAUGUGAGAGAAAACAGUCCAUGCAGGCCCUGGGAUGGGAGUACACCUGAAAUGUUUGAGGAACAGCAAGAAAACCAUGGUUGCUGGAGACAGCUGGGAAUCAAGAGGGGGCAGGAGAACAUCAUGGAAAAAGGAUGGGGAUUGGGAAGGACAAGAUAUGACUUUUGUAUUAAUACAAGCAUUGAGAUUUCUCUGUUGCUAAUAGGAGUCGAAGAUAGAAGGAGGGAGGCAGAAAACCUGAAAUCAUUCAAUACCUCUAUUUAUAAUACUGAAACAGUCAACAUUGCAGAAAUGUCCCCAAAUUAAUCCAUAGAUUCAUUGUAAUACUAAUAAACAUCCCAGCAAGGUUUGAGGGUAGAAAUUAUAAUCUUAUUCUAAAAUGAAUAUGAAAUUUGAAGACUAGCCAAAAUAAUCAUGAAGAAGACCCAUGUGGAAGCACCUCCAUUGCCAGAAAUCCUUAAAGCAAGGAAAUACAGCACAGUGAUGAUGCAAGGAUGAAAAUAUGAAACAAUAAGCCAGAAGAAAAUGGCCAGAAAUAGACCCACAUAUACAGACAUUUGGUUUGUUACAAGAAUGCCUCUGCAAGGCUGUAGCAAAACAACGGUCCUUCCAAUAACUGGUGUUGAGCCAGGUAGGUAUCUGUGUAGGAACCUACUUCAUACCAUUCCCCAAAGCAAUUUUUGAUGAAUUGAAGUCAAAUUAAGAAUGACAGCCGGGCGUGGUGGCGCAUGCCUGUAAUCCCAGCUACUCGGGAGGCUGAGCAGGUAAAUCACUUGAACCCAGGAGGUGGAGGUUGCAGUGAGCCGAGAUCGUACCAUUGUACUCCAGCAUGGGCAACAAGAGCAAAACUCCCAUCUCAAAAAAAAAAAAAAAAAAAAAAAAAAAGGCAAAAUCAUAAGACUUUUGCAAGGCUACAUAAGAUAAUAUCUUUAUGACCUUGGGAUAUGCCAGGGUUUUUUAAAACGGGACAAAAAGCAUUAACUAUAAAGGUAGAAAUUGCCUUUAAAUAAGUCAUUAAAAUAAGAACUUUUGUUCAUCAUAAGACACCCUCAAAGACUGAAGCCUAUAUAUAUGUAUAUAUAGAUAUAUAUAGAGAGACAGAGAGAGAAAAUAUAUAUAGUGUAUGUAUAUAUCUCCAUACAAAUGUAUAUAUAAUAUAUAUACUUCCAUAUGUGUGUAUAUAUAUACUCUUUAGUCUUUUAUAUAUACAUACAUAUAUAUAUAUAUAUGUAUAUAUCUCCUAGUACCAUUUACUCUUCUAAGUGUUGAUAACUGAUUUGAUUUGUAUCUUUUCAUUGACUUUUUUUCUUCAUAGGCUAUGGUGUUCAAGGUAGCCUUUUGUUUACAGUAAUAAUUAUCAUAAUAAAUGUGACACUUCUAGUAACAUACGAAGCAUUCUAUUUCAUAUACUUUUGGAUAUAUUUUUGGAUGAGUAUACUAAAUAUGUUCUUUUUACAGCCCUUCAUUUCUCAGUACAUUAUUAACAAUUAUUAAUACUGGCCUAUAUUCAACCUCAAUAGCUUAAAUAACUGAAAAAUCAGUUUUAAAUGGCACCUUCAACUCUUGAGGUUUUCUUCAGCCAGUCACUCCUUCUCAUAGUCUUUUUUGCUUCUGUCAAUCACGAGCAGCAC